rnacentral:lncRNA from 1 species
GGACCCUAUGCCAAGGUGACUUGAUGAUUACCUAAUUGUCCUUCCAUAAAUUGAAGAAAAAUUAAGAAAACAUAAAGCCAAGACAAGGAAAUAAGUCCUUGAAAGCUCUCUUCGUUCUGACUACAAUAAAAAAAAUUCCUCUUUCUUUGGGUAUCUAUGUCGUUUAUGUGUACUAGCUUUUGUGUUCAGAAAUUAUGACAAAC